rnacentral:rRNA from 1 species
AUUGAACGCUGGCGGCAUGCCUUACACAUGCAAGUCGAACGGUAACAGGUCUUCGGAUGCUGACGAGUGGCGAACGGGUGAGUAAUACAUCGGAACGUGCCCGAUCGUGGGGGAUAACGAGGCGAAAGCUUUGCUAAUACCGCAUACGAUCUACGGAUGAAAGCGGGGGUUCUUCGGACCUCGCGCGGACGGAGCGGCCGAUGGCAGAUUAGGUAGUUGGUGGGAUAAAAGCUUACCAAGCCGACGAUCUGUAGCUGGUCUGAGAGGAUGAUCAGCCACACUGGGACUGAGACACGGCCCAGACUCCUACGGGAGGCAGCAGUGGGGAAUUUUGGACAAUGGGCGAAAGCCUGAUCCAGCCAUGCCGCGUGCAGGAUGAAGGCCUUCGGGUUGUAAACUGCUUUUGUACGGAACGAAAAGCCUCUUUCUAAUAAAGAGGGGUCAUGACGGUACCGUAAGAAUAAGCACCGGCUAACUACGUG